rnacentral:rRNA from 1 species
UACAGAGGGUGCAAGCGUUAAUCGGAAUUACUGGGCGUAAAGGGCGCGUAGGUGGUUGACUAAGUCAGAUGUGAAAUCCCUGGGCUUAACCUAGGAAUUGCAUUUGAUACUGGUCGGCUAGAGUGUGGGAGAGGGAAGUGGAAUUUCCAGUGUAGCGGUGAAAUGCGUAGAUAUUGGAAGGAACACCAGUGGCGAAGGCGACUUCCUGGACCACUACUGACACUGAGGCGCGAAAGCGUGGGGAGCGAACAGG